ensembl:lncRNA
UGUCAGAGUAGAGUCAGUUCUAGCUGCUCCAAAAGGGACCCAGAGGUCUGGUGGGAGCUGUUGCCUGUGGGUUACCUGCGCUGGAGCAGUUCUUGAAGAGUUAGGGAGGGAGCCCACUCCGUAACAGCAGCAGAGGGUGAUCAUGAAGGUGUGGGAGAAAUGAAGCAUUAUGGACUGACUGAGUCUGAUGCUGAGUCUGUUUUGCCUAUAAUGGAAUGUGUGGCGUCCAUCCAUAUGAGACCAUCACAUCAAGUAAUUAAAAAUAGAAAUUGAAGAUUUGGAAAGACACCUGGAAUCAUAAUCAGUAUGGAAACAGAACCAUGGAAAGACGGAAAACACAUAUUCCUAAAAUACAAUGAUUUAUUUUAGCCCCAGAUAGGACACCCUACUUGUUUAGCAUGUUAGGACAUCUUGCUUAUCUUUCUUUUGCUUAUGAUGGAG